rnacentral:rRNA from 1 species
UAGGGAAUAUUGCACAAUGGACGAAAGUCUGAUGCAGCGACGCCGCGUGAGUGAUGAAGGCCUUCGGGUCGUAAAGCUCUGUCGUAUGGGACUAACACAGUGAAGGUACCAUGCAAGAAAGGAUCGGCUAACUUCGUGCCAGCAGCCGCGGUAAGACGAGGGAUCCUAGCGUUGUUCGGAAUUACUGGGCGUAAAGGGCGCGUAGGCGGCCCUCUAAGUCAGACGUGAAAUCCCCCGGCUUAACCUGGGAACUGCGUCUGAUACUGGAGGGCUUGAGUAUGGGAGAGGGAUGUAGAAUUCCAGGUGUAGCGGUGAAAUGCGUAGAUAUCUGGAGGAAUACCGGUGGCGAAGGCGGCAUCCUGGACCAUUACUGACGCUGAGGCGCGAAAGCUAGGGGAGCAAACGGGAUUAGAUACCCAUGUAGUCCCUGAGCGGGCUGGCAAGGCGCAU